UUUCCUUUUGAGGUCUUGAAAUUGUAUUGACUUCACACUCUUCGAAACCUGGAUCCACCCCUGGCUUUCUGCACUUUCCACUAUGGACCAAUCAGAGGUGGCCGUCCUCCAAUCUCCUGAUGAAAUUCAAUAUGAAAAUGAAACCACCGUCUUCAUAUUCUGAAGGGGCAUGUGUGGAGAGAGGUGUUAGAAAGUUUUAAACAAUUUGUACC